rnacentral:rRNA from 1 species
AUACGGAGGAUCCAAGCGUUAUCCGGAUUUAUUGGGUUUAAAGGGUGCGCAGGCGGGAUAAUAAGUCAGUGGUGAAAGUUUGCAGCUUAACUGUAAAAUUGCCGUUGAAACUGUUAUUCUUGAGUACAGACAAGGUAGGCGGAAUGUAUUGUGUAGCGGUGAAAUGCUUAGAUAUAAUACAGAACCCCGAUUGCGAAGGCAGCCUACCGGGCUGUAACUGACGCUCAGGCACGAAAGCGUGGGGAUCAAACAGGAUUAGAUACCCUGGUAGUCCACGCAGUAAACGAUGAAUACUAGGUGUAGGGGGUAUCGACUCCCUCUGUGCCGCAGUUAACACAAUAAGUAUUCCGCCUGGGGAGUACGGCCGCAAGGUUGAAACUCAAAGGAAUUGACGGGG